rnacentral:rRNA from 1 species
GAUGAACGCUGGCGGCGUGCCUAAUACAUGCAAGUCGAGCGAACGGACGAGAAGCUUGCUUCUCUGAUGUUAGCGGCGGACGGGUGAGUAACACGUGGAUAACCUACAUAUAAGACUGGGAUAACUUCGGGAAACCGGAGCUAAUAUCGGAUAAUAUUUUGAACCGCAUGGUUCAAAAGUGAAAGCCGGUUUUGCUGUCACUUAUAGAUGGAUCCGCGCUGCAUUAGCUAGUUGGUAAGGUAACGGCUUACCAAGGCAACGAUGCAUAGCCGACCUGAGAGGGUGAUCGGCCACACUGGAACUGAGACACGGUCCAGACUCCUACGGGAGGCAGCAGUAGGGAAUCUUCCGCAAUGGGCGAAAGCCUGACGGAGCAACGCCGCGUGAGUGAUGAAGGUCUUCGGAUCGUAAAACUCUGUUAUUAGGGAAGAACAUAUGUGUAAGUAACUGUGCACAUCUUGACGGUACCUAAUCAGAAAGCCACGGCUAACUACGUG